UACGUAGGGUGCAAGCGUUAAUCGGAAUUACUGGGCGUAAAGCGUGCGCAGGCGGUUUUGUAAGUCUGUCGUGAAAUCCCCGGGCUCAACCUGGGAAUUGCGAUGGAGACUGCAAGGCUAGAAUCUGGCAGAGGGGUGUAGAAUUCCACGUGUAGCAGUGAAAUGCGUAGAGAUGUGGAGGAACACCGAUGGCGAAGGCAGCCCCCUGGUUGGAUACUGACGCUGAUACGCGAAAGCGUGGGGAGCAAACAGG
rnacentral:rRNA from 1 species